GGACUACUCCCUCCGUUCGGAAUUACUUGUCUCGAAAAUGGAUGUAUCUAAAACUAAAAUACAUCUAAAUACAUCCAUUUCUGCGACAAGUAAAUCCGAACGGAGGGAAGUAGGUG
rfam:Triticum aestivum genome assembly, contig: Triticum_aestivum_CS42_TGACv1_scaffold_605127_7DL